AACGAACGCUGGCGGCAGGCUUAACACAUGCAAGUCGAACGCAUCGCAAGAUGAGUGGCAGACGGGUGAGUAACGCGUGGGAACAUACCCUUUUCUACGGAAUAGCUCUGGGGAACUGGAAUUAAUACCGUAUACGCCCUACGGGGGAAAGAUUUAUCGGGGAAGGAUUGGCCCGCGUUGGAUUAGCUAGUUGGUGGGGUAAAGGCCUACCAAGGCGACGAUCCAUAGCUGGUCUGAGCGGAUGAUCAGUCACAUUGUGACUGAGACACGGCCCAAACUCCUACGGGAGGCAGCAGUGGGAAAUAUUGGACAAUGGGCGCAAGCCUGAUCCAGCCAUGCCGCGUGAGUGAUGAAGGCCUUAGGGUUGUAAAGCUCUUUCACCGAUGAAGAUAAUGACGGUAGUCGGAGAAGAAGCCCCGGCUAACUUCGUGCCAGCAGCCGCCGUAAUAC
rnacentral:rRNA from 1 species